CCCGCUGAACUUAAGCAUAUCAAUAAGCGGAGGAGAAGAAACUAACAAGGAUUCCCCUAGUAACUGCGAGUGAAGCGGGAAAAGCUCAAAUUUAAAAUCUGGUGGUCUUUGGCCAUCCGAGUUGUAAUUUAGAGAAGCGUCUUCCGCGCUGGACCAUGCAUAAGUCUCCUGGAAUGGAGCGUCAUAGAGGGUGAGAAUCCCGUCUUUGGCAUGGACCCCCAGGGCUUCUGUGAUGCGCUCUCAAAGAGUCGAGUUGUUUGGGAAUGCAGCUCAAAAUGGGGUGGUGAACUCCAUCUAAAGCUAAAUAUUGGCGAGAGACCGAUAGCGAACAAGUACCGUGAGGGAAAGAUGAAAAAGCACCUUGGGAAGAGAGUGAAACAGUACGUGAAAUUGUGAAAAGGGAAACGCUUGAAGUCAGUCGCGUCGACCGAGACUCAGCCUCGCCUUGGCUUGGUGUACUUCUCGGCUGACGGGUCAGCAUCAAUUUCGAUCCUUGGAUAAUGGCAAGGGAAAGGUAGCACCUUUACAGGUGUGUUAUAGUCCUUUGUCGGAUGCAAGGGUUGGGAUUGAGGAACUCAGCACGCACCUCAUCGGUGUCGGGGCCUUUUGGCCUACGUUACGUGCUUAGGAUGCUGGCAUAAUGGCUUUAAACGACCCGUCUUGAAACACGG
rnacentral:rRNA from 1 species